rnacentral:misc_RNA from 1 species
GUGAAUCAUCGAAUCUUUGAACGCAAAUUGCACUCUCCGGUUUUCCGGGAGAGUAUGCCUGUUUGGGGGCCAGCCUAAAAAAAAUCGACAUUGGUGCUGUGUUAUGGUGACUUUUGCCGGAGAUGGGAUAUCUUAAAUCUCGGUUUAAGGGACUUAAAAAUUUUUUUUACGAUUCUAAGAAUGGUUCUAAGAUUUUUCUUGUACGUUUAAGGUAACGA